rnacentral:rRNA from 1 species
UACGGGCUCACCUAGGCGACGAUCCCUAGCUGGUCUGAGAGGAGGACCAGCCACACUGGAACUGAGACACGGUCCAGACUCCUACGGGAGGCAGCAGUGGGGAAUAUUGCACAAUGGGCGCAAGCCUGAUGCAGCCAUGCCGCGUGUAUGAAGAAGGCCUUCGGGUUGUAAAGUACUUUCAGCGGGGAGGAAGGGAGUAAAGUUAAUACCUUUGCUCAUUGACGUUACCCGCAGAAGAAGCACCGGCUAACUCCGUGCCAGCAGCCGCGGUAAUACGGAGGGUGCAAGCGUUAAUCGGAAUUACUGGGCGUAAAGCGCACGCAGGCGGUUUGUUAAGUCAGAUGUGAAAUCCCCGGGCUCAACCUGGGAACUGCAUCUGAUACUGGCAAGCUUGAGUCUCGUAGAGGGGGGUAGAAUUCCAGGUGUAGCGGUGAAAUGCGUAGAGAUCUGGAGGAAUACCGGUGGCGAAGGCGGCCCCCUGGACGAAGACUGACGCUCAGGUGCGAAAGCGUGGGGAGCAAACAAGAUUAGAUACCCUGGUAGUCCACGCCGUAAACGAUGUCGACUUGGAGGUUGUGCCCUUGAGGCGUGGCUUCCGGAGCUAACGCGUUAAGUCGACCGCCUGGGGAGUACGCCCGCAAGGUUAAAACUCAAAUGAAUUGACGGGGGCCCGCACAAGCGGUGGAGCAUGUGGUUUAAUUCGAUGCAACGCGAAGAACCUUACCUGGUCUUGACAUCCACAGAACUUUCCAGAGAUGGAUUGGUGCCUUCGGGAACUGUGAGACAGGUGCUGCAUGGCUGUCGUCAGCUCGUGUUGUGAAAUGUUGGGUUAAGUCCCGCAACGAGCGCAACCCUUAUCCUUUGUUGCCAGCGGUCCGGCCGGGAACUCGAAGGAGACUGCCAGUGAUAAACUGGAGGAAGGUGGGGAUGACGUCAAGUCAUCAUGGCCCUUACGACCAGGGCUACACACGUGCUACAAUGGCGCAUACAAAGAGAAGCGACCUCGCGAGAGCAAGCGGACCUCAUAAAGUGCGUCGUAGUCCGGAUUGGAGUCUGCAACUCGACUCCAUGAAGUCGGAAUCGCUAGUAAUCGUGGAUCAGAAUGCCACGGUGAAUACGUUCCCGGGCCUUGCACA